AACGCACAUUGCGCCCUUUGGCAUUCCGAGGGGCAUGCCCGUUCGAGCGUCAUUAAAUCCACUCAAGCCUGGCUUGGUAUUGGGCGUCGGGGUCUCCCCGCGCCUCUAUUUCGCCGGCUGGCCGUCGUCUGACUUAGCGUUGUGACACAAGUCGCUUCUGAAGUCGGCGGACCGCGCCGUUAGAAUUCUCUUGGACGUUAAUCAAAUGUCCAGUAAAGGUUGACCUCGGAUCGGGUAGGAAUACCCGCUGAACUUAA
rnacentral:misc_RNA from 1 species